UGUUCUUCUCACAUCGUGUUCAUAAUCAUGAGUGUAGAGACAUUGUAGGGAGAUCUCAAUGCAUAACUAGGGACAUUUUAAAGUAACACCUGGCGGCACUGCGGCUGAGUGAAGGGGUCGAGAAUCGCGUGCCCGGCCGCCCAUUGUUAUCCUUGUCGAACGUAAUGGCCGCCAGAGAGUUUGUUGACGCUCUUCCGUGGUUCCGUUUAGUACGCGUCAACGAAUCCGCGCGAUAAAUCAAUAAAACCUGCAAUUUUUGAAGAGAUAAUAAGGGUUAGGGUUUGUAGUUGAAAGUCUGCGUGCGAGAUAGUUUAAUUCCAAAUAAUAUGCAGUCAUAAUGCUGUGAAACGCAAGGCCAAUGCUCGCUUGGUAUCAGAGACGUCUACCGGACUCAAACAUUCUCUGACAAGUGCCUGGCUCCAGCGCCCUAGCCGAGGGGUUACAAACGAUCACCGGUACUGUAUUUUUCGCAUGUAACGUUCCGAACUGUCGGCCGGAAAAUAAUCCACUGGCAAAGAUAAGUGUUUGAGGAGAUUUUUUAAUCGACUUCAUGGUCAACCCAUGCCUGGGAAUUUGGGAUGCUGCCCACCUUGAUGCUCGUUGGCCGUUGGCCUGUGUAGCCUUUUGUUAACGGCCCAGCAGGUGUAUAUUUGCUAAUUUUUUAUUUUUAAUGUGAUAACGAGUCUACCGGAAUGCAGAUUAUGGAUACAGACUCAAAAAAUCAUCGAGAAUAACGGAGUAGAUGCAUAAACUAUACAAAUCCUGUGUCGGAGACUUGUGAGCCAUAUGAGGAACGUCUCGAAUCAAGAAAAUUCCGUUGCCUGCAUUAGAGUCCCCACACCAGGGUAACUCAACAACAAAAAGAAGACAAUUGAUGGACUUCCAUUUGUGAUCCACGAUCAUUUUCUAGAGAAUGCAAGAAAGCUUAAGGACACCAGCAGCUCAACUGUGGAACCAAUAACAGCCGACUUUUAGUAGUGGAGUGGCUAAAUCUAUACACACGACACCGGUAUGAUCAAAAACGGCACCUCAAUGGCCCUGGAAACGAAUGGUAGCAACGUCGUGUGGUUAAGCUCAUCAGCGCCUGAUCAGAUACAGCAGCAUCUAAUAAAAAAGGACCCGCUCCUGGUCGAAUCAGCCGAAGAGCAUCGUCAUCUACAGCAACAGGAACACAGGUAUCAACGAAGUCUGAUUAAAAUUCCAAAUCAUCAAAAUCAACAAAUAGGACAACCAGUCAAGUGUUCUAUGUUUACGCAGACCGAACAAACUAAUAGCUUCACACAAACAGAGCAGAGCGGUUCCAGCUACAACGAUCAGCGACAGCAAGCCACGAUGUUUGACCCUCAACAAAUUCAACAACAGCAAGCUCCACAAGGUCAGCAGUCUCAGCAGCAGCAACAAUCACAGCAAAUGUACGUGACAGGGGCAGAGAAAAAAGAAGAUAAGCCAUCAGCUACAUCAGAGUUCCCAUUUUAUUAUAACGUGAAUAUGCUGCAGAAAGUUCAAACAAAUGCAGUUAGCACUAUCGGUGCGAUCACAACUGAUGACAAAGGGUGUUAUCGGUUUGACGUUCAGCCUGUUGGUUAUAAUACAUUAUUGAAUCAAAUGAGUAUAGCGGCAGCAACGAACGCUACGUUCAAAUGUGACAUUUGUGGUCUAGUUUUUGGACAUAUGAGUUUACUGAAUCAUCACAAAAGAAUCCACAACACAACUCCGAGCAACCUCCAACAACAACCACAGCAAGUUGUUCAGACACCAACAACAGUUACUGUGGCUAGUACACAGGAUCGGCCUUACACGUGUGACGUAUGCGGAGCCUGUUUUGCCCUUCCUGGAGAAUUAAAGAGCCACAAAACAAAUAUGCAUCAAAAACCUAAGGUGCAAAUUUGUGAAGAUUGCGGUAGUGAUGAGCCUUGUGAACACCAUCCUACAAAAGUAAAGAAAACAAUUAAACCAGGCCAUCAUCCUGUGAAACGGCGCGGAGUUACCAGUGUAACAAAAUGCCACAAGUGCAAUGGAACUGGGAUCAUAUUCAUCGGCAAAGACGAGGAUAAACUAAAUUCUGGGAUCAGUUCACUCGCCAAGUGUGGUGGCUGCAAGGCGACAGGUCGAGUCACCAUUGGAAGUGGAAAGCAAAACAGUCAGAACCAGCCUGAAAAACCUUUCCAUUGUAACGUUUGCGACGGAACGUUUUCCCGAUAUUCGUCUCUGUGGUCCCAUAAGCGACUUCAUUCUGGCGAUAAACCAUUUAAAUGCGAAGUCUGUGGUUUAGCAUUUGCAAAAGCGGCGUACCUGAAAAAUCAUGGUCGUGUUCAUACCGGAGAAAAACCAUUCAAGUGUAGUGUUUGUGGAAUGCAAUUUUCACAAAGUCCACAUUUAAAAAAUCACGAACGAAUUCAUUCCGGUGAACGCCCUUAUCAGUGUGAAGUUUGUGAAAAAACAUUCGCUAGACAUUCAACGCUUUGGAAUCACAGGAGGAUUCAUACUGGUGAAAAACCGUAUCGAUGCAAUAUUUGUGGUUCGGCAUUCAACCAGGCUACUCACCUCAAAAACCACGCUAAAGUUCAUACUGGUGAAAAACCACAUAGGUGUGACAUUUGUGAGAUUGGUUUCUCAGAUCGUUUUGCUCUGAAACGUCAUCGUGCGAUUCAUGAAAAAUAUGGUCAAACAGCAAGGAAUCAGAACAGUAACAGUGCAAACAGUGCGCAGCAAGCCAACACAAGCAAUCAGCAACAACAGCAACAAGCUCAGCAACAAGGUCAACAAUCCCAACAAGUUGUAGUUGUUAAUUCAGCAACGCCGGUGACUGUUAGUCAAGGUCAAGGGCAAGGUCAAAGUCAAAGCCAAGUGAUGAAUACAGAAGACGAGAUGGUAGAUAUUGGUCUACAGACGGCUGAAUUGUGUGACACAAUUUUGAAAACAGAAGACUUUGAUGGUCUUGAAUAAUGAAUAAUUACUGAUUAAUUAUUAGCAGUGAAAAUGUAAAAGUCAGAGAAUACGUAUAGAAGAUCGAUUUACUUUCAACUAUCAAAUCAUGAACAUUUCGAUCUUCUAUCCAUUAUUCAAAGCAAUGAAUGAUAAAUUGGUCUUGUCAUGGUAAGUCGAAUAUUUUUCAAUGUAUAUAAAAUUAACGCCUUUUUAGUGUCUCGGAGUAGGGAAAUAACUUUUUUGACAAUGUAAACACUUUCUUUCUUUCUUGGAACGUUCUUGACGCAGUUAGCGCUUUUUCUUAAUUAUCAUUUUUAUAUAAAAUAAUUCGCAAAACUGAUAGUUCUAACAAACUUUGUCAUUGGCAUAGAUUGUCAUGUAAUCAUAUUGAGUAGGUCAAAUGUCAUCCACGGGGCUUCCACUGAUGUAUUUGAUGAAAAACUAAUUUUAACUGUUAUAGAUAAUAUUUAUAAGAACAGUAUUUGUAAGAUUUACACCUAAAAUAAGUUUGGAUCAAUUAUUUUUCAACCAUUUCCCUGCUGUUCAAACAACGUAAAGAUAACAUAAUUCUUGUAAUUUCUCUAAACAUAUGUUUGUACACAAUUGCACCUUACAACGUUAAUUAAUAUGAAAAAAGACUGCACGUUGAAGGAAUAUUAAAAAUUCAUAACAGAAGUAAUAAAUCUACGUUACGUCAUUACACAGUUUCUUCCAAAUAAAAUUCACCCACGUGAUAUACAAUUGAAGCAAGUUUUUCAUUAAUUUUACAGAAUUGUGUCUGUCAUAAACUUCGUUUUAUUUAUUAAAUUUUUUCCUUGCAUUUAUAUUUCGUGUCUCCAAUUGUAAAUUAUAUUCUUUUUUGUAACAAUUGAAAGGUACUGGAGCUAUAAACGUGAACGAUUUGUACUGUCAUUUUUCAUGCCAUAUUAUUUUUGUGACACAUGUGCAUAAAAUAAAUAUUUCUUGACAAGUGUAAAGUGCCACACAAGCUGAAGGUGAAUACGAACUCAUACGGGUCAAGAAGUCCCUGUAUGCGCACAUGCCACAAAUCCUAUUUUCUAUGCUACCUCCUGUAAAAAACUACAACGUAGUCAAGUUGUUGCCUGCGGCAGCGCAGCAAACAUUUUUAAACCUUCAAUGCUCUUAGUUUUGAUAUUUGUUAAUUUGCAGUUACGUAACAAUUUAAUUCGAGUAAUGUAAAACAAAUACAAUAGCAAAAAGACCCAAUUGAAGAUCCACGUACAUACAAUAUGACAGUCAGAAGUUGUUCUAUAAUCAAAUCAUGUACAUUUUAUCUUUUUUCAGAAUGAAAUAAAAUAUUAAUUCUAAAUAUAUUAUUUCAUGGAAGUUACAAACUGAAUUUGAGUUCUCUACGGAAGGAUAUUAAAAAUUUGCUCACCAUCUUCCCACAAUUAAAAAUUUUACAGACACUAAGAACAGGCUAAAUUGAUCUCAGUUUCCCGCAUAUCAUCACAUGUGAAUCAUGAAGCUGCGGAUACUACUUACAGAAGAUUGGAUUUGUGCUCUUGAAAAUUACAAACAAGAUAUUCCAACUACUUGUACCAAGAUCGACUGACAUUUUACCACCAGAAAUCGUCACUGACUUUGAAAAUAGGGUAACGAUGUGACUCAGUGGGGCUCCUUUGUUAAAUAACCAUCUAAUGAAAAUAUUCUAGCAAAUGGCAAUUAAUAUCUACGUAAUAUGCAAUGACGACACAUUAUCCUAAAAAAGAUAUGGGUGUAUAUAUAUAUAUAUAUAUAUACGCAUACAUACACACACAUGUAAAUUCAUGAAAAUUGCAAUAUCAAUAUUAGUUUAUUAAUAACAGACUUUCGUUGCUGUUUAAAAAAAUCUAGAAUAAUUGGGCUCUGACAUAUGGAUUACAAUAGAAUAUAGUUUGUAAUAAUAGUUUGAUAAGUUAGCCUUAUAUUGAUUUUUAUAUUCACAAUUGUUAUAGUUAUGGCAGUGUACUAUGACUUGACUCACAAACAUUCACUAUACGAUUGUCAGAAUUUUAGAAUUAAAGAUGAUCAAUCACCACAUGCGAUGAUGUCAAGUAGCUUUAAUAUCACUAUCCGAAUGAAUAUAUAGUUAAAUGUACAGUCAAAACAUCGAAAAAGUAAGAUAAUUUCUUAGUUUGUACAAGUAUAACUACAUCUAUGACGAAUUUAUAAAACGUCGGAGUAUGUAUUCAAUACCUAUGAUGAUAUUUUUUUUAGAUUUUAACUGGUCGCCUCUAAAAAUGUCAGCCAAAGUUUUCAAAUUCCGACUUGAUUUUUUUAUUCAAAUCAGAUCAACAACAUCUGUAUUUCUCUUCAUCAUGUAUAACUCAACACAAAUGUUGAUGAUAAAAUUUAACAGAAAGGACGGCUAAUUUUGCAUUGUGUUCAUUCACACUAAAAUAUAAAAAAAUAAAUAAAAAAAACAGGUCGAAACUAUCAAUUCUGAAGUGAAGGUCUCAGUGUUUGAAAUAUGAAUGCGGUUUUUUUUGAUCUGCAUGUUCGAAAUGUGGAUGAAAACCGUGGUUACUCGCUUAACAUCGGUCUCUAAUUUUUUUCUGUAGUUAGUCACAAUGUUUUUUGGCUUAAGAACAUAGGGUGAAUGUGCUGAUGGUCAGCUACUUCAAAAAGUAGACCCAGUGGAUGGGCACUAUUAAACGAAUGGUUGGCCACAGCUAUUUGAUUACGGAAAUUUAUUACGUGUCAACUCAUUAGCAAAGGAAUUACGUUAUAAAAAUACUAAUCUAAACUAACAAAACAAUGUACAUGAUUACGUAAAAAAUGUAUGUUUACAAAACUACUCAUAAAAGAUGAUAAGUAUGGAUCACAGAUGUAUAUUACAGUACUGGCAACUCCCUAUGUCAGCCUUGUCAUAAUUGGUCCCCCUUAUUGUCGGCUAGUUCCGCGUUGUAUCGUCGUUUUGAUUGUGGUGCGCUGACAGUCAAUUCGCAUGGACGAUAAACAUAAACGUGCAAACAAACGAACAAACAGACUUCGAAGUACAUUGGAUCUUUCAAAUACGAUUAACAGCGUUAUUUUAGUUUUCAUUUCAGGAAAAUCGAUUGUCGACACCUUAUUAGUUUAAAAAAUUAAUAGAAAAGGGCUAAAUACUGUCAGCGCUAUAACAGUAAAAGCCCGUACUAAUAGACCAUAAGGAGGUGCGAUAUUGCCGGGAGUUGUCAGUUCUCUACUAAUAUACGUCCGUGGUAUGGAUGAAGUGGAUACAUUUUUAUGGUUACGGAUAAGAAGUGUACACCUAAUUUGGAAACCACACUGCCAACUCUUGAAGCUUGAUGGCAGCACCAUCGUUGGUUCAAAAUUCCAAUUCAAGCAUACAAUAUUACGUUAAAAUUUAUUUUCCUUUAUAGAAGAUCUUUUUUCUUCAAUUGGAGAAAAGCACCAUGGCAAAUUAACCUGUUUAAAUUCUUCGAUCGUCCACACAAAAUACUUUUUCAUUUUGGAACACCGGAAUUUCGCGGCAAAGUAGACCAACGAUUGUGCGUCACCUGCGAUCCAGCUUGACAACUGUGGGCCCCCAUUAUAACAGAAGGUGAACUAAAUGGAUGAUAAUCGAUUUCGCAGAAAUCAGUUCUACAGGGUAAAUGUUAUACAGACUUGUUUCUACAGAAAUUUUUCUACAGAAUAUUUUCCUACAGAAUGGAAUUCGAGAUCCACAUCAGAAAUAAUCCUACAUCAAUUAUUCUACAUGACAAUUAUUGUACAAAAUUUUUUAUAUAGAACAGUUUUAUAGCUUCACACAUCCAACACAAUAUCUGUUUGACACAACACACACACAUAAAUUCAACACAAAUAAUUUAAAUUAAAUUGAAUCAAAAUGUAUAAAAUCAAUGAUUAAAUGUAUGAUUUUGACAAUUCGAUGAUUACUUUGAAUGUGUACUGUGUCAAUCACAAUUUGUAGAAAAAUGUUGUGUAGAAAAAUUUGCUGUAGAAAAAUACUUUUGUAGAACAAUUCCCCAGUAGAAUAACUCAUGCAGAAUUAUUUCUGAUGUGAAUCAAAUUCCUUUCUGUGGAAAAAUAUUUUUGUCGAAACAAGUCUGUAAAACAUAUUCUGUAGAACAUUUGAUCUGUAGAACUGAUUUCUGUAGUAUUGAACCACAUUCAACUAAAUAAGUGGGCAACCAUUUCUAAUCUAAAGGUGACUACUAGCACAUUCGCCCUACAUACAAUUCUUUUCUAUUUCGUAUCUGCAUUUUGCAUGUGUUUUAACUUUAAUUUAAUGAGGUACAACAAGCUGAUCUUAUUCUAUCAGCAAGAUUUUACGUUCUCUGUCAAGUAUUUUACAUACCCCAUAUACAUAUAAUUAUGAAGCUGAAGAUAGCAGCCAGAGUUAGCAGCCAAACGUAAUUAACUAUUUGUAAAUAGAAAUAUGCAGUUCCGUUUUAUCCUCAUAAUUCUAUUAAAGUAUUGGGGAUUCAAGAUAUUUCAUAAGAUUUUGAUUUUCUGUCUUAAUCACGUUAUUUGAAUGAACAUUAGAACGUUUGGCUGCUCAUUCUGGCUGCUGGUUUCAAUCUCGUUAUAUGUUUACGUGCAGAAGCAACUGUUAUAUCUGACAAUGAUUUGUAAAUUAAAUAUUAUAGUCAAUUUAGGUGGUCAUAAUGCCUGUUGCAGUAUUUUGGGUUAGAAUAGUGGUUACCUAAACUUUGGUUUUUCUUAAUGCUGUUACGCUUACAUUGGCAUACCGGACAACAAAUUUUUCAAUAAUCUUCAUUAUUAGUUCAAGGUUUAUUGAAGACAGAAUCUUUACAUUCCAGGUUGAGAUGUAUGCUUACAACUAAAAGGACUACAUCUUUCGGUUUGAUGGGCACAAAUUUAAUCUAUCCAUAGCUCCUCUAGUUUUUAUUAUAGUUUCACGGAAUUUCGUGAAUUUUAAUAACUUGGGAUUAUGUAAUUUUUAAUAACAUAUAAAAAUCAUGCCACUUAUGACACCUAUAAAAAUAACGUAUCAGUUCUAUUGGGUAACUUCCAGACCUGGUCCUUCGAUUCUUAAGGAAGUCAAGUUUAAGUCCGUUAAUUAACAAAACCUAAUGCGUUGACUGAAGAUAUGUAAAAAAGUUCUGCCCUGGGCUAAUAUUGCUUCUGGUUGGGUGGGUUGAGGGGUAAAUGUUGCUCUGUAUGUACCGACCCGUCUUGUGGGAUCCCAAUGUUAAAUCGAGAAGACUCCUUAAAUUUUCUCCCGGCUGUUCAUCUCCCCAAAUCAGGUAUUUAACCGUGAAGCAAAGUCUAUAAGGUUAGCAGUCUGUAUGCAUCUUCAGUAAACGUUUGAUGUGGUCAUGUAAUCAUAUAGGUAUAUAGCUCAUGCUAUAACUGUCGUGACUAACAAUAAAGUCAAAACUUGUUUACUGAUCUGUGAAUCCCGGAAGAACAUUAAGAAUAUCUAUUUGCUGAACAAUAAGGCUCCGUAUUGCACAAGUUUCAGCAUGUGAUUGAAAAAUAUAAAAAUAAAUUUUAUCACCCUUGCUUAGACCACCGUGAAAUCCGCUUAUAACACAAAGCUUGAAAAUUCAUUUUCCAACUAUUCCAUUGAACCAGCUUGUUCUUUCGUAAGAGCCAAUCCAAUCUAUUCAAGCAUUAAUACAAUUCUUUAUAUGAGUAUAAUGUAUGAGUAUCUUAUAUUUUUGGCUCCGAAACGUGUAUUAAGAAUCAGUAAUAUUUUAUCUAAACUCAUUAAAAGCUAGAAAAUAUCGGAGGUUUAUGCAUCAAACAAGGGAAUUAUCACCAAUUUUAACCAAAAUAAUCUGAGGUUGCAAUUGUGAUAUCUCUAUCUCUACGGUUCUGAACAGUGGUUGCAUAUAUUAAGACUUCAGACUUUUUCUGAAGCUAUGAAUUUUCUUAACUGCACUAUUUUUGUUAUAUACAUACUCUCACGAAAUUUGUCAAGUUUUUAUGAAACGAAAUUUCCAUUGUCGGCUUACUCAAAUUUUGAUGU
rnacentral:misc_RNA from 1 species